rnacentral:rRNA from 1 species
UGAGACACGGCCCAGACUCCUACGGGAGGCAGCAGUGGGGAAUAUUGCACAAUGGGCGRAAGCCUGAUGCAGCGACGCCGCGUGAGGGAUGACGGCCUUCGGGUUGUAAACCUCUUUCAGCACGGAAGAAGCGAAAGUGACGGUACGUGCAGAAGAAGCGCCGGCUAACUACGUGCCAGCAGCCGCGGUAAUACGUAGGGCGCAAGCGUUGUCCGGAAUUAUUGGGCGUAAAGAGCUCGUAGGCGGUUUGUCGCGUCUGCUGUGAAAGCCCGGGGCUUAACCCCGGGUGUGCAGUGGGUACGGGCAGACUUGAGUGCAGUAGGGGAGACUGGAAUUCCUGGUGUAGCGGUGAAAUGCGCAGAUAUCAGGAGGAACACCGAUGGCGAAGGCAGGUCUYUGGGCUGUUACUGACGCUGAGGAGCGAAAGCAUGGGGAGCGAACAGGAUUAGAUACCCUGGUAGUCCAUGCCGUAAACGUUGGGCACUAGGUGUGGGGAACAUUCCACGUUUUCCGCGCCGUAGCUAACGCAUUAAGUGCCCCGCCUGGGGAGUACGGCCGCAAGGCUAAAACUCAAAGGAAUUGACGGGGGCCCGCACAAGCGGCGGAGCAUGCGGAUUAAUUCGAUGCAACGCGAAGAACCUUACCAAGGCUUGACAUACACCGGACCGGGCCAGAG